AGGAGAAGAGUCUGUACCUAAAUUAUGUGCACGGGCAAAUCGUGCAUAUCUAACGACAGUCGAGAAAAAAACUUUUGGAAGCCCACUUACCUGUACGUCUGUGCUAUUGUUCAUGACAUGCCAAGUGAUGAAGGUUUGUGGAUAACUUGUAGUAUUUACAUCGACGUUUUCACCAGUAGUGCAAAAUGCGAGGAAAAGUAACAACCCUUGAUGGCUGUUCAUUCUUGAGAUCACGUCACGUGAGAAACCCCGCCUACUUUCAUUGCAUGUUUUGCGUGGAUAAUCAUUGGUUGCUGCAUACUACGUUCUAGCAUUUCUAUGCUUUACCAGAUCUAGAGAAGCAUGCAGUGCAAAGAAAGUCAGGUUCAGGGAUAUGAGAGAUAAAAAAUCUAUUUUAGAGCUAUGCACAUGGUUCUGCCAUAGACAGAGACUAUAUGCAUUGUUCUGUAUAUGCAAAAGUUUGCAAUAUGAUUAUCUCUGAUGGAAACGAAUGCAUUUUGAUUGGACUGCUCAUUUGUUAAAAAAAAGUGUUAGAGUCUAGUACUCUAGAGUGACUUACUGUAAGUGUUUGUGCUAUAUAUAGCUACAUGCGUAGUUGGAGAAAACUGAAUGGAUGAUUGCUUUGUGGAAUAGCAUUUUGAUAAUUGAAGUAACGUGUAAAACAAGGCAGACACAAGAUCAGAAGGAAAUCAGUCUGUACUGCUCGAAAUAAUGUUCAACACAAAUUACUGAUGAGAAUUAUUUGUUAUUCGGGGAAGAUGAAAACGAUACAUAAUAUGAUAUGAUAUCAAUAUAAUAUAUGAUAUCAAAAGUGGCAACUACUACUUGGUUUUAGUUAUGUUGACUGUGAUCAA